rnacentral:lncRNA from 1 species
GGAGACUUGACUCACAGGGUCCCUCCAUAAGAAACCCAGCUGAGUACACCUAAUCACUACAGAGUAUUCUGUUCUUGCUUCUGCCCUUUAUCACUCCAUAAAAAUCUAACAUCAUACCAUGUUGGAUUCCUCAAACAUGAGUAACUCCAGCACAUAAGUGAAAAAUUCAGGAAGAGGUGGGUUCACGGCCAGUAUGAGCUACAUACCAAGGCACUGCUUCACAAUACAAUCAAAAGUAAACUCUACAAUGAGAUCCCCACUGUUAGUGACAGCCCUACUCGAAGCUAUUUCCUCCUCCAAUUCAACAGGCUCUUCCCAAUAAGGUCCACUGAAGGAAGGCCAAAAAGUCUCUACUGAAUUUCCACACAAGGUACCUCACAAGCUUGUCUAAGAACAUUUGAGCAAUGUGUCAGAAGCCGAUGCCUCAUUUUUCUCUCUUCCUUCAGGAUGGCAACUUUAAUGAGGACAAACCCCAGGAAAAUCUCUGAUAACUCCCAACAACCUGUUCAUGUUCGGGUUUACCACUAUGAAGAAUCCUAUGGCUAAGCAAGUAUUCAGGCAUCAAGUACAAAGGACAAGCACAUACGAAUGCUACAUUGCCAAGAAAUUGUUCUAUCCUCCUGGAUGAAGGAACACAGCUCAUGACAUGUUGUUGACAAACAGCGGCGAAGAAGUCUCCCUCCAGAAGGGAGUGUUGGUCCAUUCCUAAAAGACGCUCACACAUUCAUCACAUAGAUUUCUCAUGUUGAACUUUAUUCUUGCCAAAUUUCUCCCCAAGAAAUGUCACCAGAAACAACAAAGCAGAAAAUAUGAGAGGGAAAUUCAAGAGAAAGAUCUCUGCCAUUGCACAUCAAGACUGCUGUGCUGUGAGGUCAUUCCCAAGCUGGUUUGACUUCUAGAGCAGGCAAAAUGCUAGCCUCGUCUUCAGUGAAGCCACAUCAAGGGCAGAUUCUGAGAUUUGCUGCCAGGCAUUUGGGAGAAUUUUGAUUGUCUUGUCAUCUCAGAUCCAAAGGAAGUACAAGGAGAAGUAUAAUGAAUUGUUUCUACAAAAAGACAAUUUUAGAUUUCAU